rnacentral:rRNA from 1 species
AUGGCUAUGGUAUCAUCUGUCUCAUUUUCAGCUUUAUUCAAUGGUGAGAAGCUUGACCCUUUCAAACCAACUAGAGGAAUCCGGCAGGGAGACCCAAUCUCCCCCUACUUAUUCUUGAUUGUAGUAGAGGGCCUUUCGUGCCUCCUGAAAUCCAGUUCUCAGUCAUCACUAGCAGGUAUCAAGGUGGCCCCAACGGCUCCAACCAUUAACCACCUUCUAUUUGCAGAUGACAACCUGUUGCUUUUCAAGGCGAGUGUAGAGGGAGCAGUUGCAGUGUCAAACCUGCUAGAGAAAUAUUGUGACGCUUCAGGGCAAAGGAUAAACCAUGAUAAAUCCUCUAUAUUUUUCAGCAAAGGGUGUCCAGGCCCCACCAGAACAGAGGUGAAGGAUUCCCUACAAGUCCAAAAUGAGUCUUUGUCUGAGAGGUAUCUGGGAAUGCCAACUGAUGUUGGUCACUCAAAGAAUGGAACGUUUAAAUAUCUGAGAGAUAGAGUAUGGGAAAAGAUUAAAGGUUGGAUGGAGAAGCUGCUGUCCUCAGCGGGCAAAGAAGUACUGAUUAAGUCUGUGGCACAAGCGAUACCUGUUUAUUCCAUGGCAUGCUUCCGAUUGCCGCGAGGGCUUUGCGAGAACAUCACAUCAAUCAUAAGGCAAUUCUGGUGGGGGAGUAAGCAGGGAAGAAGGAAGCCGAGUUGGGUGGCAUGGGACGUGAUGACUAGACCAAAACAUAUGGGUGGCCUCGGCUUUCGUGACAUGGAGAUAUUUAACCUGGCACUUCUGGCACGUCGGGCAUGGCGCACAAUGACUUCAGAACUCUCACUAAGCUCAAGGAUCCUCAAAUCAGUUUACUUUCCAAACUGCCCUUUGCUAGAUGCCGAGUUGGGAUCUCAUCCGUCGCAGAUUUGGAGGGCUAUUUUGGAUGGCCGGGACAUCUUGGCUCAAGGCAUUAUCAGAAGGAUUGGAGAUGGAGAGGCCACAGAUAUUUGGGAACAUAACUGGAUCCCGAGGGAGAGUUUCAAAAGGCCUAUAACAUCUUUGGUACAACAUCCUCCGACUAGAGUUGCUCAACUCAUUAGUGCUUCUACUGCGUCUUGGAAUGAAGGACUAGUUCGGUCUAUUUUCACUCCCUUUGACUCUGAGGAAAUUCUCAAGAUACCACUUUGUACGCGCACAGUUUCAGAUUUCUGGGCAUGGCAUGACGAACCACGUGGAAUGUUCAGUGUUCGCUCGGCAUACCGUAUGAUCUUGAGGACAAAACUCAAUCGUGAGGCGUGGUUGCACGAGGCUGAGGGGUCGUCGUAUGCUCAGCAUGAAAGCAAACAAUGGAGCAGCAUCUGGCAUCUUCAAGUACCUUCAAAGCUCAUGAUGUUCGUGUGGAGGUUAGCUAGGCAGUCCAUGCCUACUGGUGAGCUGUUGAUGCACCGUCAUAUGUCGACAGAGGAUACAUGUAACCUCUGCGGGGCAAGGGACACAUGGAGGCAUGCGCUACUUACUUGUCCGAUGUCCAGCAGUGUUUGGGCGUUGGCUCCUGAACAGCUCGUGCAACAUCUAGUUGAUCGACAAGAGGAGAGCCCGAAGGAUUGGCUUUUUGCACUACAUGAGAUCCUAGACAAGGAAGAUUUCGUACGGCUUGUUGUCACUUCAUGGGCAAUCUGGGGAGCGAGAAGGAAAGCAAUCCAUGAGGAUAUCUUCCAGUCACCGUUAUCAACCCACGGCUUCAUCACACGAUACUUGACCGAGCUUCAAGUUUUGAAUACAGGGUCGUCGAAGCCGGUGGUGGUGAAGGCCCCAAGAGCUGCCGUUUGGCAGCCGCCAGUAGCGAAUAGUGCAAAAGUAAAUGUUGAUGCUGCAAUACCUCAACACAGAAGAUACGGCGCCGUGGGAGCGAUAAGCAGGAGCGCCGAUGGAGCGUUCUUGGGAGCCUCAACCCUGGUAUUCAGAUAUGUUUCAGAACCGGAAACACUUGAAGCAUUGGCUAUUCGAGAAGCACUUGCUCUAUCAGAUGACUUAUAUCUGCGGAGGAUCCAUGUGGCUUCCGACUACAAAGUGGUGGUUGAAGACAUUACGAAGGAAAAUGCCUCUCGGUACAGAGCAAUCAUACAUGAAAUAAUAGAUCACUCGUCGUCUUUUGAUUUUUGUAAGUUUAGCCAUGAAUUUAGGAGCUCAAAUUUUGAGGCUCACAAUUUAGCGAAGCAUGCACUUUCUCUAGGGGUUGGCCGCCAUGUUUGGUUAGGCCAUCCCGGAAAUCUUCCUUUCGUCUCUGUAAACAUUGUGACGACUUAA